GACGAACGCUGGCGGCGUGCCUAAUACAUGCAAGUCGAGCGGACGGAUGGGAGCUUGCUCCCAGACCGUCAGCGGCGGACGGGUGAGUAACACGUGGGCAACCUGCCUGUAAGACUGGGAUAACUCCGGGAAACCGGGGCUAAUACCGGAUAACUCUUUCCCUCACAUGAGGGAAAGCUGAAAGAUGGCAUCUCGCUAUCACUUACAGAUGGGCCCGCGGCGCAUUAGCUAGUUGGUGAGGUAACGGCUCACCAAGGCGACGAUGCGUAGCCGACCUGGGAGGGGGAUCGGCCACACUGGGACUGAGACACGGCCCAGACUCCUACGGGAGGCAGCAGUAGGGAAUCUUCCGCAAUGGACGAAAGUCUGACGGAGCAACGCCGCGUGAGUGAUGAAGGUGUUCGGAUCGUAAAACUCUGUUGUCAGGGAAGAACAAGUACCGGAGUAACUGCCGGUACCUUGACGGUACCUGACCAGAAAGCCACGGCUAACUACGUG
rnacentral:rRNA from 1 species